AUGAAUAUGAAUUCUAUUGUUUCAUGUCUGCCUUCCUUCCAUGGAGGCUCAUACUUGGGCAAGACACCUGAUCAAAUAGGCCAACUGACCUUGUGACGUUCAGUCAUUUAAUUUUUCAUGGAUGAGACAUACUAAAGACUGUCUUAUAUUCUACAUGAAGCGUUUUAUAAAUAAAGGCCUAAGAUUAAAACUGGAACUGAGGGCUCAACUGUUUGGGUUGUCAUGGUAACCAUGUUGAGUGUGGUUAUUCGUUAGAGCAGGCAAGGGUUUGGGAUAUUACCAUGUAGGUUUUGGACAAUACUAAAAGUCAGAUGCUUUAGUCAUCCGAUUCAUGGGUAGAUGGAUUACAUUCAGAAUCUCUCUAUUCCAGUUGCACGUACCAAAAAGGAACAAAACUUGCAAUAGGGAUGGACUAUCCUCCUGUACAUGAUAUCUUUGACCCCCUCAUAGUGCCCUAUGGUAUUUGAGUUUUCACUUACACGAUCAUAAUAAUAAUGCCACUGUCUUGACUCGCAUAUUCUAUCUUGAAUCUGCUGCCUGUAAUAUUUUAGUGCUGGACUAGCACUCAAACCAAUUUUCCCAUUUAUUUUGUUAAACAUUGUGGAUUUACAUACAUCUCUUAGAUGACGUGAUUUUUGAAUUUUGUUUGGAUCAGGGACGG
rnacentral:misc_RNA from 1 species